UGUUAAUAUGUGUUUCGAGCCAAAUAAAUGACAGGGAGGGAGAGAGAGAGAGAGAGAGAGAGUGACGUUAGGACACGUCGUACUAUGGCAACCUCCCGAAAGGGGGGGGUCAAUCAUUGGGAUGCGCAUGCGCAGACAGAUAGCGCGACCGGCGGGCCUUGAACUUUAAGAGAAGAAAAACUUUCUCACGGACGGUGACAGCGAAACGGAUAACAGUCUUGAGUACCUGCUGGUCUUUGAAGCUCUGGAUUCUGGGACUGUUGGAAAAGCUCCAACAAAAUGAGGAAGAGGAGGGGGAGAAAAACAAUUAGAUUGAAUUACAAUUGGAUGGAAGUCGAGGACAAUGAGGAGGAAGCCUAGGAUGAGGAGGAACAAAAGCAGCAGGAGCAUCUUUAGGGAUCUCUAUGAUGUCAUUGAGAGGCGGUGGCGAGAGGGGAGACCUCGGCUCAUCCAGCUGGAGAGCCUGACCAGGAGGAGUCGAACAUUAACUCGGCUCUUCCAGGACACCCUGCAGACUUGGCUGCUGGCAACAGCGAGGGAUGAUGUGAACGCCAAACUGGAGUCCAUCACAGGUCGACUGCAGCUCCUUGUCUCAGAGUGGGAGGGAUUUGAAGCACAAAGGGAGGAGCUUGUCGUUUGGUUGGCUGAUAUGGAUGCCCGUCUGAGUGAGGUUGACCAGCUGACAGGAAACACCUGUGAAAAACUGAAACAACUGCAGGUGAGGAAGUCUCUGUAUGAGACCUUUAACGGAAUAACGAUGACAAACACAUUAGGAGUGCACAGGCAUCAAAAGAAAUCUGGACAAAAAUAUGUCUUGUCAUUUUGGACUCCACUGAGAAAACAGGAAAAAAACAGUCUACUUAAAGUACUCUUUAAUGAGCUAUCUGCAGAAAACAGGAAGCAAAUGAAGAAGAAAACAGACAACAUGAAAAUGCAACAAAAUUCACCAACUCAAGAGAAAAUACUUUAAUAAAAGUUGUCCUCUGCAAAAUUACACUUUAUAGGAAAUAAAGAGCUCAUGGACGAAUUAAAGAUUUCUUUAAACGUGUGUUUGCUGCUGUUCUGUCAAAUGUGGCAUAGACGAUGCAGUUUGUUUGAUCUUUCAAGUUGACUACUUGUUCAUUUGUUAGUCAAAAAAACAUGC
ensembl:lncRNA